rnacentral:lncRNA from 1 species
AGAAGGAGUUGAGUGAUGGUAGAUAUCAGGCCCUGGUCUGCGGCUUGGAAGUUUCCUGUGAAUAAGAAAAACAUCAUCGCUUCUUGAGUCACAAGGAUGAUAGGAUGAGAAAAAGAAAGGACAAAGGCACCAGAGGAGGUAAGAACAUAUGAGAGGCAGGCUGAGACCAAUUUUCUACCAGGCCAGCUAAUUCAUCACAAUGACAAGCUAUGGGUCAUAUGCUUUCAGGAACCAGACACUGGAACAUGUCGUCUGAUGUACAUCACACCAAGAAAUAAAAAAAGAAUUGGAAAGCCAAUGUCCAAUUAUUUACUAAAACAGAAUCCACUGGAGAGAAAUGCAAAGGCAGGUAAAAAGGCAAUCUCUUAACAUGAAAACUCACAACUGUAAAAUGAGAACCUAAACUAUACAGCGACAAACUCAGGAAAAAGUCUCCAGCUACUGCUGUCUCUCAGACUCUCACAGUAUGUGUAACCACUUCCUCCUCUGCACGGAAUCACCCCAGAAGAUCAACUCUACUAGAUCAUUUGAGGACAAUGAACAAAGUCUCAAGACUGAAUUCCCACAGAAAACAUUCUCAUGAAACCACCCAAUAUUCUGGUGAAGUUAAAGAAGGGCAUGUGUUCGGAGACAACCAGAAGCAGCAAUGCUCAAAACCACAAAACUCUGGAUUGCCGACUCUGCACAUCCUGGUUCCUCUAGAUACAGUUCAGUGGCACAUUCACAAAUAAACGUUUUCAAAAACUGCCCUCAGGCAGUUCUAGAGAAAUGCUUUGACUUGCCUAAUGGUAUAAUGUCAAGAAAGGAAGACGAGCACUGAUCAUUCAUACUCAUUAUUACAGUCACAGGGCACUGUCUGACUUGACAGAUACAGCCGAGCAGUUAAAAGGUUAUGGGAAUUUAAGUCCAUUAUGGUCAUACGAUUCUUAUGGACCCAGAGAUAUGAAAUUAAUCAGCCACAUGUGUAGGGACAAAGUUUGUCAUAAAUAGAUAUAAGUUAUCUGCAUGCUAAGAACUUAGUUACUUAACUCUGUUUCCUCAUGUUAAUAUAAACAUAAUUAUAGAAUGCAAAUGAAAUACUUAGCCUGGAGCCUAUUAUAUAGGAAGCACUCAAUAAUUUCAAACUAUUGAGUAUAUUAUUAGAUAGGCUCCAUAAUUAUUUAUUCCUUUUUCAACAGACAGUAUGAUCUAUUGAAAAUAAAGCCAAACUAGAUUUCUUUGACCCACUCCUUUUUCUGUUUGUAUUGUUGGCAAGUUGUUCUAAAUCAACUUGCCAACAUACUAUUAACAUGUUAUUAACAUAGAAGGGAUGCUUAUUUUGUUUGCUUUGUAAGAAAUGCUUCUGAUUCAGUAACUGGGCAAUUUAUUUAAAUAUAAGUAAAAAGCAGAUUUUAUUAAAAACUACUUUGUGCUAUCAUAAAUAACUCAUUGUUCUCUGUGAUUCAGAAGUGGAUUUAUUAUUCUUUUGGGGUUGGGGAAGGCACUGAGACUGGUUUCAGCACUGAUAUUUUGCUUUGGUCCACAGACAGUCCAAGUCUAAUGAGUUACUAAAGGAAAAUGACAUUUUACUGAACUGUUUUCUUCAUAAAUAUAACAGA